AGAGUUUGAUCCUGGCUCAGGAUGAACGCUGGCUGCGUGCUUAACACAUUCAAGUCAAACGAAGCUACUUUGGUUAAUCCUUCUGGAAGCGCUGAUAUAGCUUAGAGGCGGACGGGUGAGUAACGCGUGAGUAACCUGCCUUAAUGAGGGGGAUAACACUUGGAAACGGGUGCUAAUACCGCAUAAAGUAUUGAUUUCGCAUGGGAAUAAUACCAAAGCUGACGCGCAUUAAGAUGGGCUCGCGUCCGAUUAGACAGUUGGUGAGGUAACGGCUCACCAAAUCAACGAUCGGUAGCCGGACUGAGAGGUUGAACGGCCACAUUGGAACUGAGAGACGGUCCAGACUCCUACGGGAGGCAGCAGUGGGGAAUAUUGGGCAAUGGGCGAAAGCCUGACCCACCGACGCCGCGUGAGGGAAGAAGGUCUUCGGAUUGUAAACUUUAUUUAUCUGGGAAGAAGCAAGUGACGGUACCUGAAGAGAAAGCCACGGCUAACUACGUGCCAGCAGCCGCGGUAAUAGGUAGGUGGCGAGCGUUAUCCGGAAUUACUGGGUGUAAAGGGUGUGUAGGCGGGAUAGCAAGUCAGAUGUGAAAAUUAUGGGCUUAACCCAUAACCUGCAUUUGAAAUCUGUUAUUCUUGAGUGUAGGAGAGGUAAAUGGAAUUCCCGGUGUAGCGGUGAAAGGCGUAGAUAUCGGGAGGAACACCAGUGGAGAAGGCGGUUUACUGGACGACAACUGACGCUGAGACACGAAAGCGUGGGGAGCAAACAGGAUUAGAUACCCUGGUAGUCCACGCUGUAAAC
rnacentral:rRNA from 1 species